rnacentral:rRNA from 1 species
CCUACGGGGUGCAGCAGUGGGGGAUAUUGCACAAUGGGGGAAACCCUGAUGCAGCGACGCCGCGUGGGCGAAGAAGUAUUUCGGUAUGUAAAGCCCUAUCGGCAGGGAAGAAGGAGGACGGUACCUGACUAAGAAGCCCCGGCUAACUACGUGCCAGCAGCCGCGGUAAUACGUAGGGGGCAAGCGUUAUCCGGAUUUACUGGGUGUAAAGGGGGCGCAGACGGCAGCGCAAGCCAGGAGUGAAAGCCCGGGGCCCAACCCCGGGACUGCUCUUGGAACUGCGCGGCUGGAGUGCAGGAGGGGCAGGCGGAAUUCCUGGUGUAGCGGUGAAAUGCGUAGAUAUCAGGAGGAACACCGGUGGGGAAGGCGGCCUGCUGGACUGCGACUGACGUUGAGGCCCGAAAGCGUGGGGAGCAAACAGGAUUAGAUACCCCAGUAGUC